UGCCCGUUGGUCCAGUUGGCACGGACACCGCGUUCUGACCGCGGAGACCGAGGUUCGAAUCCUCGACGGGCAG
rnacentral:tRNA from 1 species